rnacentral:lncRNA from 1 species
GUUUUUGCUAUACAGCUAACAUUAACUGGUUCUAAGACUGAAUACUGUAUUAAAUUUGUUAUUAAAAUACAUACUCCUAUAACAAGAAGGGACAUAUAAGACAAAAUAGGAAAGAUGAAAAGGUUUUAAAGACACAGGAGAGGCUAAAGAAGUGAUUUUUAAUGGAUAUACUCUGGGAGAAAUUCUCAACUAUUUCCCUACAAAUGGGUGAUAUUAGUCACUUAGGGUGGCUGCCUUUUUUCUGAAAGCUGUCAGACAUCUCUAUGGACAAAAUAAAGAAAGAGACACCCUACGGUUUAUUUAUGUACAUAUCAUGGUAGCAGUCCGUGGUUUUAAGACAAAUUGAAACUCCAUCAUAUGCUGCUUUUAAAGCCCAAAUAACUAAAAUAAAAACUCCCAGGCACAGCAACGGCAAAAUACUGUCAUUCGCAUGUGCUCAGGAGACACGUGUCUCUAAAAGCAACAUGUACAUUUCUCUUUUCAAGCAAAUGUUUAAAGGAACUGGCACCGCAACAAACAAGGGGAAAUAUGGAGAUCAGUUUUAAAGGCAGGAUUUGUUUUUGUGGAGUCUAAUUUAUUUCAAGAAAUCCAGAUUAUUAAAUUCACCUCCUAUCUGAGGAAGGAUCUCAAAGGAAAGGUAAUACAGGCUAGUCGUCCUUAAAUGCCCAAGUCCAAAAGACUAGUAUUUAAGACCCAAGUUUAUCACUUACUAAGUGUCAGACCUUGGCCAUGUUACAUAAUCGCUCUCAAUCUGUUUCCUCAAAAUAAUACUGCUUAACAAAGGAUUAAGUAAAAUGGCACUCUGGGAGGCCAAGGAGGGUGGAUCACAAGGUCAGGAGUUCGAGACCAGUCUGGCCAAUAUGGUGAAACCCCGUCUCUACUAAGAAUACAAAAAUUAGCCCUCUCCCUCUCCCUCUCCCUCUCCCCACGGUCUCCCUCUCCCUCUCUUUCCACGGUCUCCCUCUGAUGCCGAGCCGAAGCUGGACGGUACUGCUGCCAUCUCAGCUCACUGCAACCUCCCUGCCUGAUUCUCCUGCCUCAGCCUGCCGAGUGCCUGCGAUUGCAGG